rnacentral:rRNA from 1 species
GUGCCAGCAGCCGCGGUAAUACCAGCACCCCGAGUUGUCGGGACGAUUAUUGGGCCUAAAGCAUCCGUAGCCUGUUCUGCAAGUCCUCCGUUAAAUCCACCUGCUCAACGGAUGGGCUGCGGAGGAUACCGCAGAGCUAGGAGGCGGGAGAGGCAAACGGUACUCAGUGGGUAGGGGUAAAAUCCAUUGAUCUACUGAAGACCACCAGUGGCGAAGGCGGUUUGCCAGAACGCGCUCGACGGUGAGGGAUGAAAGCUGGGGGAGCAAACCGGAUUAGAUACCCGGGUAGUCCCAGCUGUAAACGAUGCAGACUCGGUGAUGGGUUGGCCUCGAGCCAACCCAGUGCCGCAGGGAAGCCGUUAAGUCUGCCGCCUGGGGAGUACGGUCGCAAGACUGAA